rnacentral:pre_miRNA from 1 species
UCUUCAUUUCACGCGCUCUCUCGCUGGUCAGAUAGGCGAGAGAAUGUGUGAAAUGAUGAGA